UGGGGAAUAUUGCACAAUGGGGGAAACCCUGAUGCAGCGACGCCGCGUGAACGAAGAAGGUAUUCGUAUCGUAAAGUUCUGUCCUAUGGGAAGAUAAUGACAGUACCAUAGAAGAAAGCUCCGGCUAAAUACGUGCCAGCAGCCGCGGUAAUACGUAUGGAGCGAGCGUUGUCCGGAAUUAUUGGGCGUAAAGGGUACGCAGGCGGUUUAAUAAGUCGAAUGUUAAAGAUCGGGGCUCAACCCCGUAAAGCAUUGGAAACUGAUAAACUUGAGUAGUGGAGAGGAAAGUGGAAUUCCUAGUGUAGUGGUGAAAUACGUAGAUAUUAGGAAGAAUACCAGUAGCGAAGGCGACUUUCUGGACACAAACUGACGCUGAGGUACGAAAGCGUGGGGAGCAAACAGG
rnacentral:rRNA from 2 species